rnacentral:lncRNA from 10 species
GGUCAGAAGAUCGAGACUAUUCUGGCUAACACGAUGAAACUCCGUCUCUACUAAAAAAAAAUACAAAACAAUUAGCCGGGCGUGGUGGCGGGCCCCUGUAGUCCCAGCUACUCGGGAGGCUGAGGCAGGAGAAUGGUGUGAACCCGGGAGGUGGAGCUUGCAGUGAGCUGAGAUCACGCCACUGCACUGAGGGUUCUGUGAGAGUCAGUAAAGGUUAAAGCCAUUUAUAUGUGUAUGGUCCAACCAUACACAAUCGGCCCUCCAUAUCCGCAUGUCCCACCUUUGGAGAUUGAACGAAGAGCGGGUUGAAAAUACAGUGUUGAGGUAUGGUGGCUCACACCUGUAAUCUCGCACUUCAGGAAUCCAAGCAGGAGGAUCGCUUCAGGCCAGGAGUUCAAGACCAGCCUGGGCAGCAUAGAGACCUCCUUUCUACUAAAAAUUUGGGGGAAAAAAAAAAUUAGCUGGGCCUCGGGGCCCGCACCUGUAGUCCCACCUACUCAGGAGGCUGAGGCAGAGGGAUCGCUUAAACCCAGGAGGUCGAGGCUGAGUGAGCUAUAAUCCCUCCACUGCACUCCAGCUUGGGUGACAGAGACCCUGUCUCAAAAAAAAAGGGGGGAAAGAAAAGGAGGCUGGGCGCAGUGGCUCACUCCUGUAAUCCCAC